rnacentral:rRNA from 1 species
GGCUUCUCCUUCGGGAGCAGAGUGACAGGUGGUGCAUGGUUGUCGUCAGCUCGUGUCGUGAGAUGUUGGGUUAAGUCCCGCAACGAGCGCAACCCUUGAUCUUAGUUGCCAUCAUUAAGUUGGGCACUCUAAGGUGACUGCCGGUGACAAACCGGAGGAAGGUGGGGAUGACGUCAAAUCAUCAUGCCCCUUAUGACCUGGGCUACACACGUGCUACAAUGGACGGUACAAAGAGCUGCAAGACCGCGAGGUGGAGCUAAUCUCAUAAAACCGUUCUCAGUUCGGAUUGUAGGCUGCAACUCGCCUACAUGAAGCUGGAAUCGCUAGUAAUCGCGGAUCAGCAUGCCGCGGUGAAUACGUUCCCGGGCCUUGUACACA